GACAGCUUAGUGUCCAGGAGACACAUUCAUUGCAAAUGACUGACUCUGCCCUUGGCCUGGAGUCCACAGGAGAAUGAACAAAACAAAAACCUGGAACAAACUGAAUAAGUAUAUUUUAAAUAUCUAUCACUACAUCCAUGAUUCUCUUACAGUUAUUGAAGAUCAUUUUUCAUUCUAAUUGACAAGAUGCAGGACAGAAGGAACACAACAAAUGGGCUUUGGACACCAGCCAUGCCAUUCACUGGCUGCAUGAUCGCCACAUCUUCACUGAGUUCUCUUCAAGCCUCAGGCUCUGCUGUGAUGUAUGAAUCACUGAGAGUCUUCAAGAAAGGUGUAUCAGAAAGAUUAUCACAGAAUCAGGGAGAGUUAAGUCUCUACCUUCACCAACUGCACGCAUCUGAGAUCAAACUGCACCGAUGAGCUGAAGAGCAGCCAAAUGAUUCUGUAGAUGCGAUGGCAGCUCCUCUAGUGGAAUACACAGCAGCAGUCACGACCAGGGGCAGUGCCCAGCUGAGGGGAUUCUUCAUGGGAUCAUGAGCAAAAAAGGCAUGAGAGUAUUGUCAAGACAAAAGAGGAAGAACACAAGAAACUGAAGGACUGCUGAAGCAAGCGGGAAAUUGCUGGGGAGGAUGCUGUGAGUCAGGUUAGUUUCUGGCAGAAACCAUAUGGGCUCAUAUUAUAAUAAUUUAGGAUUAAAAGUGAAACAAGUAAAAGUGUAAUCUUAUUUUUAGGUAAUGGACUAGUAAAGCUGCC
rnacentral:lncRNA from 1 species